rnacentral:lncRNA from 1 species
AGUUUGAUCUCAGACAGCUGUGGUAGCAAUCAGCGCGACUCCGUGGGCGUAGGACCCUCCGAGCCAGGUGCGGCAUAUAAUCUCGUGGUGCGUCGUUUUUCAAGCCUGUCGGAAAAGCGCAGUGUUCGGGUGGGAGUGACCCGAUUUUCCAGGUGCCCUCUGUCACCCCUUUCUUUGACUCGGAAAGGGAACUCCCUGACCCCUUGCGCUUCCCAAGUGAGGCAAUGCCUCGCCUUGCUUAGGCUCGCGCACGGUGCGCGCACCCACUGACCUGCGCCCACUGUCUGGCACUUCCUAGUGAGAUGAGCCCGGUACCUCAGAUGGAAAUGCAGAAAUCACCGUCUUCUGCGUCUCUCACGCUGGGAGCUGUAGACCGGAGCUGUUCCUAUUCGGCCAUCUUGGCUCCUCCCUCCUCUUCAACUAUUUUUAAUUGGUCUUUGCAACUAAUGCAGUCAGUCAUCUGAAUUACUGACAGACCUUUCUUCAUGCUUAGAUGGAGUUUCACUCUGUUGCCCAGGCUGGAGUGCAGUGACAUGAUCUCGACUCAUUGCAACCUCCUCCUCCCAGGUUCAAGCAACUCUCCUGCCUCAGCCUCCCGAGUAGCUUGGAACUACAGGUAGCUCACAGGCAAAUAUACAGAAAUGUAUAAAGAAACUGACUUCAGUAAAGAUAAGUGAGUAGCCGAAAAUCCCACUUAAAGAGGCAAAACCAUAUUGGAACCAAUGUUACAAUGAAUCCUAGUAG